rnacentral:rRNA from 1 species
GAUGAACGCUGGCGGCGUGCCUAAUACAUGCAAGUCGAGCGAACGGACGAGGAGCUUGCUUCUCUGAUGUUAGCGGCGGACGGGUGAGUAACACGUGGAUAACCUACCUAUAAGACUGGGAUAACUUCGGGAAACCGGAGCUAAUACCGGAUAAUAUUUUGAACCGCAUGGUUCAAUAGUGAAAGACGGUUUUGCUGUCACUUAUAGAUGGAUCCGCGCUGCAUUAGCUAGUUGGUAAGGUAACGGCUUACCAAGGCAACGAUGCAUAGCCGACCUGAGAGGGUGAUCGGCCACACUGGAACUGAGACACGGUCCAGACUCCUACGGGAGGCAGCAGUAGGGAAUCUUCCGCAAUGGGCGAAAGCCUGACGGAGCAACGCCGCGUGAGUGAUGAAGGUCUUCGGAUCGUAAAACUCUGUUAUUAGGGAAGAACAUAUGUGUAAGUAACUGUGCACGUCUUGACGGUACCUAAUCAGAAAGCCACGGCUAACUACGUG